rnacentral:lncRNA from 1 species
AGCAAAAUAAAAAUAAUUAAUUUAAAAAAUAAUUAUUACAUAUUAUUUUAUGUAUUAACCAAGUCAUUUAGCAAUCUUAAAACAUCCAUUGGUGAUUGAACUAAUUAAAUGUUCUUAAUUAUAUAAACUGUUCUUGAUCCCUACAUUGACAUGUUCUUUCAUUUCCUCCAAUACUCCAAUUUUUUAAAACAAUUUUCACCAUAUUAUUUUAUCACUAUAUUAAUACUCAUAACAAAAC